rnacentral:tRNA from 1 species
AAUCAAUGAACUUGAAUAAGUAUAUGUUUUGAAAACAUAAUAUAAAAGAAAAUCUUUUAUUGAUUU